CCUACGGGGGGCAGCAGUGGGGAAUAUUGGACAAUGGGGGCAACCCUGAUCCAGCCAUGCCGCGUGUGUGAAGAAGGCCCUCGGGUUGUAAAGCACUUUCAGUGAGGAAGAACGCCUGGUGGUUAAUACCCAUCAGGAAAGACAUCACUCACAGCAGAAGCACCGGCUAACUCCGUGCCAGCAGCCGCGGUAAUACGGAGGGUGCGAGCGUUAAUCGGAAUUAUUGGGCGUAAAGCGCGCGUAGGUGGCUUGAUAAGCCGGUUGUGAAAGCCCCGGGCUCAACCUGGGAACGGCAUCCGGAACUGUCAAGCUAGAGUGCAGGAGAGGAAGGUAGAAUUCCCGGUGUAGCGGUGAAAUGCGUAGAGAUCGGGAGGAAUACCAGUGGCGAAGGCGGCCUUCUGGACUGACACUGACACUGAGGUGCGAAAGCGUGGGUAGCAAACAGGAUUAGAUACCCUAGUAGUC
rnacentral:rRNA from 1 species